AAUCCAUAGGUUAAUGAGGCGAACCGGGGGAACUGAAACAUCUAAGUACCCCGAGGAAAAGAAAUCAACCGAGAUUCCCCCAGUAGCGGCGAGCGAACGGGGAGGAGCCCAGAGCCUGAAUCAGCAUGUGUGUUAGUGGAAGCGUCUGGAAAGGCGCGCGAUACAGGGUGACAGCCCCGUACACAAAAGCGCAUGUGCUGUGAGCUCGAUGAGUAGGGCGGGACACGUGGUAUCCUGUCUGAAUAUGGGGGGACCAUCCUCCAAGGCUAAAUACUCCUGACUGACCGAUAGUGAACCAGUACCGUGAGGGAAAGGCGAAAAGAACCCCGGCGAGGGGAGUGAAAAAGAACCUGAAACCGUGUACGUACAAGCAGUGGGAGCACAGGUUUACCUGUGUGACUGCGUACCUUUUGUAUAAUGGGUCAGCGACUUAUAUUCUGUAGCAAGGUUAACCGAAUAGGGGAGCCGUAGGGAAACCGAGUCUUAACCGGGCGUUAAGUUGCAGGGUAUAGACCCGAAACCCGGUGAUCUAGCCAUGGGCAGGUUGAAGGUUGGGUAACACUAACUGGAGGACCGAACCGACUAAUGUUGAAAAAUUAGCGGAUGACCUGUGGCUGGGGGUGAAAGGCCAAUCAAACCGGGAGAUAGCUGGUUCUCCCCGAAAGCUAUUUAGGUAGCGCCUCGUGAACUCAUCUCCGGGGGUAGAGCACUGUUUCGGCUAGGGGGCCAUCCCGGCUUACCAACCCGAUGCAAACUGCGAAUACCGGAGAAUGUUAUCACGGGAGACACACGGCGGGUGCUAACGUCCGUCGUGAAGAGGGAAACAACCCAGACCGCCAGCUAAGGUCCCAAAGUCAUGGUUAAGUGGGAAACGAUGUGGGAAGGCCCAGACAGCCAGGAUGUUGGCUUAGAAGCAGCCAUCAUUUAAAGAAAGCGUAAUAGCUCACUGGUCGAGUCGGCCUGCGCGGAAGAUGUAACGGGGCUAAACCAUGCACCGAAGCUGCGGCAGCGAACGUAUCACUUAAAGCGAUUCAGCGGGUUACGAUUGACGGAGCGAAGCGACGUCAAAGCGUAUACAAAGUCGAGUCGGUUUAAGGAUACGUUCGUUGGGUAGGGGAGCGUUCUGUAAGCCUGUGAAGGUGGCCUGUGAGGGUUGCUGGAGGUAUCAGAAGUGCGAAUGCUGACAUAAGUAACGAUAAAGCGGGUGAAAAGCCCGCUCGCCGGAAGACCAAGGGUUCCUGUCCAACGUUAAUCGGGGCAGGGUGAGUCGACCCCUAAGGCGAGGCCGA
rnacentral:rRNA from 1 species